rnacentral:lncRNA from 1 species
GAGGAGGGCAGGGCACAGAGCAGACUCCGCGUGGAGCACUUGUUGAAGCGCUGAGAUGUGGGACAAUCAAACCCGGCCGGAGUCUGUGCUCACACCGCAAACCAGAGGGCGACUAGCAGAGUUCUGGGCGUUUCUCAGCGUUUCCCUCGGGAGACAGACAGAGCAGAGCCAAAAAUUCCCCUCCUCACGAAGGGAAAACCAGGGGCCGGCCGCACCUGGGGGAGUCAGGGACCGGCUGCACCUGGGGGAGUCAGGGACUGGCUGCACCUGGGGGAGUCAGGGACUGGCCACACCUGGGGGAGUCAGGGACUGGCCGCACCUGGGGGAGUCAGGGACCGGCUGCACCUGGGGGAGUCAGGGACCGGUUGCACCUGGCGGAGUCAGGAGUCAGGGACUGGCCGCACCUGGGGGAAUCAGGGACUGGCUGCACCUGGGGGAGUCAGGGACCGGCUGCACCUGGCGGAGUCAGGAGUCAGGGACUGGCUGCACCUGUGGGAGUCAGGGACUGGCUGCACCUGGGGGAGUCAGGGACCGGCUGCACCUGGUGGAGUCAGGAGUCAGGGACCGGCCACACCUGGGGGAGACAGGGACUGGCCGCACCUGGGGGAGUCAGGAGUCAGGGACCGGCCGCACCUGGGGGAGUCAGGGACUGGCCGCACCUGGGGGAGUCAGGAGUCAGGGACUGGCCACACCUGGGGGAGUCAGGAGUCAGGGACCGGCCACACCUGGGGGAGUCAGGGACUGGCCGCACCUGGGGGAGUCAGGGACUGGCCGCACCUGGGGGAGUCAGGAGUCAGGGACCGGCUGCACCUGGGGGAGUCAGGAGUCAGGGACCGGCUGCACCUGGGGGAGUCAGGAGUCAGGGACUGGCUGCACCUGGGGGAGUCAGGAGUCAGGGACUGGCCGCACCUGGGGGUGUCAGGGACCGGCUGCACCUGGGGGAGUCAGGCGGUCCCUGGCGGGGAGCUCACCUGUGUCCUCGGGCUGGUGGCCGCUGGCCCACACUGAGGGCCCUGGGAGCGGUGUUGGGACUUUGACCUGCAGCAAAGCAGCGUAUCACUCAUUCAGCAACAAUGGUUUCACAGGAAAAGAGGAGUCAGAUGGUUUUCAGAAGCUUAGUUAGUAUAAAUCUGUGUUUUCCUAAUCAAUGGUAUCCACCCUUCUAUGAGGAAUUGUAACCCUUAGAUAUCAG